AAAGCGUGUGGGUCACCAUCCAUAGGGCAGGCAGGGCUAAAGGGAUCCGAGAGCCCCAGGAGAGAUGCGAGCAUGCUCCCAAAGCACAGAAGCAUCCAAGGCAAGUAAGGAGACACAGUAGCAUCCAGAGAAGGGGAUGCAACUGGCAGCUGAGAGUGUUUCCAGCGCUUCUUGGGUUGGUAUAAGGUCUUCUGUUAUUUAAUAUGCUGUUGGCUGCAGAUGUUUUUGGAAGAGCAAGUCAUCUGCCUCAUCCCACUAAGAAUAUUAGAACUAUUCUGGACUAAGUGCACUGGUUCAAUACUUCAGACAUUGAGAAAAUGCGUGCUGGGAGACUCAGAAGCAUCCAGAGGAUUUAUGAUCAGAACAUAAGGUCUUCUGGAAGUCAAUAGGGCUUUUGUCCCUAAAUCGUUCAUGUAGCUUUUAAACUCACUCCUGUAAACUGUAAAUGGACAGAGUGGAAGGAAGGAGCUUCUUGGCAGUUGUGUUAGGAAGUAAGCAACUAUGCCACUGAGAGAGAGAAGCUACAUUGAUCUUUUGCAUGCAGAAACCUCUGAAUACUUUGCAGCUGUGUUAUUGCAGAUUGCAUAUCAGAAAUUCUUUCAGUGGUGACCCUCUGACCCUGUUAAUUAUUCAAGAAGUGACAUGACUGACAAGGACCAUAUUUCUUUGACUGCUAUUGCUUGUGGAUUCCCCAAAGUCAGCCUCUCCUGAGACAGAAAAGAAAAACUUUGCUGUACCUUCUUUGUGGGUACCUGUGGUAUGGUCAUGCCAAUGCACAUUGCAAAUAAGAAUGUGAGUAGUUGUUUCAUGCUGUUUCAAGGAGGAAGUCAACUUCUGGGCUCAACGUUCAUCUGCAGCACAGUUCCUGGCAAUCUCAGAUGUCUGACUAAUUGCAGGUGAGACAGUCACACAGAACUGCUGGUGAUUCUUGUGUCAGAGCAGCCAGUGCAAAAUUAUUGUCUGAUGUAAUGAAGACAGAAAUUUCCCAAACCAAACUAUGUAAGAUUAAAGUUGCACGUUGCUUUCAUUUGA